GACGAACGCUGACGGUGUGCUUUAGACAUGCAAGUCGAACGAGAAAGCCCUUCGGGGUGAGUACAGUGGCGAACGGGUGAGUAACACGUGGGCAACCUGCCCCUCGCAGGGGGACAACCGGAGGAAACUCCGGCUAAUACCCCGUAAGCUUGUUGGGUCGCAUGACCCUUCAAGGAAAGGUAGCUUCGGCCAUCCGGCGAGGGAUGGGCCCGCGGUACAUUAGCUAGUUGGUGGGGUAACGCCCACCAAGGCGACGANGUAUAGCUGGUCUGAGAGGAUGAUCAGCCACACUGGGACUGAGACACGGCCCAGACUCCUACGGGAGGCAGCAGUCGGGAAUCUUGCGCAAUGGGCGAAAGCCUGACGCAGCAACACCGUGUGAGCGACGAAGGCC
rnacentral:rRNA from 1 species